GACGAACGCUGGCGGCGUGCUUAACACAUGCAAGUCGAACGGAAGGGCCCUGCUUUUGUGGGGUGCUCGAGUGGCGAACGGGUGAGUAACACGUGAGUAACCUGCCCUUGACUUUGGGAUAACUUCAGGAAACUGGGGCUAAUACCGGAUAGGAGCUCCUGCUGCAUGGUGGGGGGUGGAAAGUUUCGGCGGUUGGGGAUGGACUCGCGGCUUAUCAGCUUGUUGGUGGGGUAGUGGCUUACCAAGGCUGUGACGGGUAGCCGGCCUGAGAGGGUGACCGGCCACAUUGGGACUGCGAUACGGCCCAGACUCCUACGGGAGGCAGCAGUGGGGAAUAUUGCACAAUGGGCGGAAGCCUGAUGCAGCAACGCCGCGUGCGGGAUGCCGGCCUUCGGGUUGUAAACCGCUUUCGCCUGUGACGAAGCGUGAGUGACGGUAAUGGGUAAAGAAGCACCGGCUAACUACGUG
rnacentral:rRNA from 1 species